GAACGCUGUAUCGAGAGUUCGAAUCUCUCACUCUCCGCCAUUUUUAUAUUCUUUUUCAGGUCGGGUUGCAGUGCUUGGGUCUUGCGCAAUGAAGUCCUGUGAACCUCGUCAGGUCCGGAAGGAAGCAGCGAUAAGCGGGGUGCUUCAUGUGCCGCGAGGUCGCCUGAGGACUGCGGCUCGACGUGAAAAAGAAUGCAUUG
rfam:Selenomonas ruminantium strain C3 genome assembly, contig: IE42DRAFT_scaffold00002.2